rnacentral:rRNA from 1 species
UACGGGGGGGGCAAGCGUUGUCCGGAAUCAUUGGGCGUAAAGCGCGCGUAGGCGGCCCUGUAAGUCCGUUGUGAAAGUCAAAGGCUCAACCUUUGAAAGCCGAUGGAUACUGCAGGGCUAGAGUCCGGAAGAGGCGAGUGGAAUUCCUGGUGUAGCGGUGGAAUGCGCAGAUAUCAGGAGGAACACCAAUAGCGAAGGCAGCUCGCUGGGACGGUACUGACGCUAAGGCGCGAAAGCGUGGGGAGCGAACAGG